rnacentral:rRNA from 1 species
GUAGGUGGCAAGCGUUGUCCGGAAUUAUUGGGCGUAAAGCGCGCGCAGGCGGUCCUUUAAGUCUGAUGUGAAAGCCCACGGCUCAACCGUGGAGGGUCAUUGGAAACUGGGGGACUUGAGUACAGAAGAGGAAAGCGGAAUUCCAAGUGUAGCGGUGAAAUGCGUAGAGAUUUGGAGGAACACCAGUGGCGAAGGCGGCUUCCUGGUCUGUAACUGGCGCUGAGGCGCGAAAGCGUGGGGAGCAAACAGGGAUUAGAUACCCUGGUAGUCCACGCCGUAAACGAUGAGUGCUAAGUGUUAGGGGGUUUCCCGCCCCCUUAGUGCUGCAGCUAACGCAUUAAGCACUCCGCCUGGGGAUACGGCCGCAAGGCUG